GCGGUGCCUUCCGAGUUCCCUGGAACGGGACGCCUUAGAGGGUGAGAGCCCCGUACGGUUGGACGCCUAGCCUCUGUAAAGCUCCUUCGACGAGUCGAGUAGUUUGGGAAUGCUGCUCUAAAUGGGAGGUAUAUUUCUUCUAAAGCUAAAUACUGGCCAGAGACCGAUAGCGCACAAGUAGAGUGAUCGAAAGAUGAAAAGCACUUUGAAAAGAGGGUUAAAUAGCACGUGAAAUUGUUGAAAGGGAAGCGUUUAUCACCAGACUUUUUCUAGGGGGAUCAUCCGGUGUUCUCACCGGUGCACUUCCCCUGGUUGAGGCCAGCAUCGGUUUUCGGAGGGGGAUAAAAGCUUCGGGAAUGUGACUCCCUCGGGAGUGUUAUAGCCCGUUGCAUAAUACCCUUCUGGGGACCGAGGUUCGCGCAUCUGCAAGGAUGCUGGCAUAAUGGUGAUCAACGACCCGUCUUGAAACACGGACCAAGGAGUCGAACAUUUAUGCGAGUGUUUGGGUGUCAAACCCUCACGCGUAAUGAAAGUGAACGGAGGUGAGAGCCCUUACGGGUGCAUCAUCGACCGAUCCUGAUGUCUUCGGAUGGAUUUGAGUAAGAGCAUAACUGUUCGGACCCGAAAGAUGGUGAACUAUGCGUGGAUAGGGUGAAGCCAGGAGAAAUCCUGGUGGAGGCUCGCAGCGGUUCUGACGUGCAAAUCGAUCGUCAAAUCUGCGCAUGGGGGCGAAAGACUAAUCGAACCAUCUAGUAGCUGGUACCG
rnacentral:rRNA from 1 species